GACAGAGGUGCCGAGCGUUAGGCGGAAUCACUGGGCUUAAAGCGUGUGUAGGCGGGUGCCUAAGUACCUUGUGAAAUCCCACGGCUCAACCGUGGAACUGCUUGGUAUACUGGGUGUCUUGAGCUAUCUAGGGGCAACUGGAACAAACGGUGGAGCGGUGAAAUGCGUAGAUAUCGUUUGGAACGCCAAUGGUGAAAACAGGUUGCUGGGGAUAUGCUGACGCUGAGACACGAAAGCCAGGGGAACAAACGGG
rnacentral:rRNA from 1 species